rnacentral:rRNA from 1 species
GGAGGGGGCUAGCGUUGUUCGGAAUUACUGGGCGUAAAGCGCACGUAGGCGGACCGGAAAGUCAGAGGUGAAAUCCCAGGGCUCAACCUUGGAACUGCCUUUGAAACUCCUGGUCUUGAGGUCGAGAGAGGUGAGUGGAAUUCCGAGUGUAGAGGUGAAAUUCGUAGAUAUUCGGAGGAACACCAGUGGCGAAGGCGGCUCACUGGCUCGAUACUGACGCUGAGGUGCGAAAGCGUGGGGAGCAAACAGGAUUAGAUACCCCGGUAGUCCACGCCGUAAACGAUGAAUGCCAGACGUCGGCAAGCAUGCUUGUCGGUGUCACACCUAACGGAUUAAGCAUUCCGCCUGGGGAGUACGGCCGCAAGGUUA